UGGGGAAUUUUGGACAAUGGGCGAAAGCCUGAUCCAGCAAUGCCGCGUGUGUGAAGAAGGCCUUCGGGUUGUAAAGCACUUUUGUCCGGAAAGAAAUCCUUGGCUCUAAUACAGUCGGGGGAUGACGGUACCGGAAGAAUAAGCACCGGCUAACUACGUGCCAGCAGCCGCGGUAAUACGUAGGGUGCAAGCGUUAAUCGGAAUUACUGGGCGUAAAGCGUGCGCAGGCGGUUUGCUAAGACCGAUGUGAAAUCCCCGGGCUCAACCUGGGAACUGCAUUGGUGACUGGCAGGCUAGAGUAUGGCAGAGGGGGGUAGAAUUCCACGUGUAGCAGUGAAAUGCGUAGAGAUGUGGAGGAAUACCGAUGGCGAAGGCAGCCCCCUGGGCCAAUACUGACGCUCAUGCACGAAAGCGUAGGGAGCAAACAGGAUUAGAUACCCUGGUAGUCCACGCCCUAAACGAUGUCAACUAGUUGUUGGGGAUUCAUUUCCUUAGUAACGUAGCUAACGCGUGAAGUUGACCGCCUGGGGAGUACGGUCGCAAGAUUAAAACUCAAAGGAAUUGACGGGGUCAUAGCUGUUUCCU
rnacentral:rRNA from 1 species